rnacentral:rRNA from 1 species
CCUACGGGAGGCAGCAGUGGGGAAUUUUCCGCAAUGGGCGAAAGCCUGACGGAGCAAUACCGCGUGAGGGAAGACUGCCUAUGGGUUGUAAACCUCUUUUUUCAGGGAGGAAUCAAAUGACGUGUACCUGAAGAAUAAGCAUUGGCUAACUCCGUGCCAGCAGCCGCGGUAAU